rnacentral:rRNA from 1 species
GACGAACGCUGGCGGCGUGCUUAACACAUGCAAGUCGAACGGAAAGGCCCUGCUUUUGUGGGGUGCUCGAGUGGCGAACGGGUGAGUAACACGUGAGUAACCUGCCCUUGACUUUGGGAUAACUUCAGGAAACUGGGGCUAAUACCGGAUAGGAGCUCCUGCUGCAUGGUGGGGGUUGGAAAGUUUCGGCGGUUGGGGAUGGACUCGCGGCUUAUCAGCUUGUUGGUGGGGUAGUGGCUUACCAAGGCUGUGACGGGUAGCCGGCCUGAGAGGGUGACCGGCCACAUUGGGACUGAGAUACGGCCCAGACUCCUACGGGAGGCAGCAGUGGGGAAUAUUGCACAAUGGGCGGAAGCCGGAUGCAGCAACGCCGCGUGCGGGAUGACGGCCUUCGGGUUGUAAACCGCUUUCGCCUGUGACGAAGCGUGAGUGACGGUAAUGGGUAAAGAAGCACCGGCUAACUACGUG